AUUGAACGCUGGCGGCAGGCCUAACACAUGCAAGUCGAGCGGUAACACAGGAAGCUUGCUCCUGGGUGACGAGCGGCGGACGGGUGAGUAAUGUCUGGGAAACUGCCUGAUGGAGGGGGGUAACUACUGGAAACGGUAGCUAAUACCGCAUAACGUCGCAAGACCAAAGAGGGGGACCUUCGGGCCUCUUGCCAUCAGAUGUGCCCAGAUGGGAUUAGCUAGUAGGUGGGGUAACGGCUCACCUAGGCGACGAUCCCUAGCUGGUCUGAGAGGAUGACCAGCCACACUGGAACAGAGACACGGUCCAGACUCCUACGGGAGGCAACAGUGGGGAAUAUUGCACAAUGGGCGCAGGCCUGAUGCAGCCAUGCCGCGUGUAUGAAGAAGGCCUUCGGGUUGUAAAGUACUUUCAGCGGGGAGGAAGGCGAUAAGGUUAAUAACCUUGUCGAUUGACGUUACCCGCAGAAGAAGCACCGGCUAACUCCGUGCCAGCCGCCGCGGUAA
rnacentral:rRNA from 1 species